AAGUGUCUGCCUACUCUCUCGAGUGAUUUUUUUUAAUUUUUUUUAUUUUUAUCUAGACUAGUUGAAUUGAAUACGUUCGCUCUAAGAACUUCAUCCACCGAGAUGUGAAGCCAGGCAACUUCCUAACGGGCCUUGGGAAGAGUUCCCUUCUUGAUUCCGUUCCUGUAAUCAACUGUGCAGUCUGGUAGAUAGAUUGGCUGCAGUACCCUUUUUUUUUUUUUCCCGCAAGGCGGCAGCAGCCCUCCAUCCAAAGUAAGGGCAGCGCAUGCGCAGAAUCGGCUUGACGCCUAGGGGCGGGGUGUGUGGCUACGUAUGCGUGUUACGAAAUACGGCCGCAUUUGUCCCGGGACUGCAGCGAUGCUGUAAUUCCGUACUCCUAUGCCCAGUGCGCACUGGCAACGUCCUGGAGGGAUGGCCGCGGCACCUCUUACCAGGAGGCAGCAGAGGGCACCACAACACCACACCGCAGACAGCGCGGGAUCGCGUUGCCGUUAUAUACGGCAAGCAACGCCGAGGGGGGGGCGCCACCGCCCAUGCGCGGCGCCAAGGCUGCAGUACCGUGUUUUGGCCGCCAGGUGACAGCAGCAGCACGCUACCAACCGGACGGCUGCAGUACCCAAUCUUUUUCGCUAGGCGGCAGCAGCGUUCCACCCAAACUACGGGCAGCACAUGCGCAGGUUCCACCUGAUGCCUAGGGGCGGGGUUUGUGGCUACGUAUGCGUAUUAUGACAUCCUCCACAAACUCUUCCUCCUGCAGGUCUGUCUGGAGAUGUCUCCAAUACAGCAGCCCCCAGGGGAAGGAUUUCUCUGUGGGACGGGAAAGCCAAGAGCUAUGACAGUAACAUAACACUUCACAAGUUAAAUUAGCUUAAAUUAAUUUAAACCACUGAAUUUCUUUUGUGACAAUCUCUCAUUUCUGUAUUUUUUUAAACAGUAGGCAGACAGAUUACUUGAAUGAAUGAAAAUACAUGCCUAAACAAGUAGAUUAAAAUCCACAAGACAUCGUAUAAUAAAAUCCAGUUUUUUUCUGGUAGUAACAAAAAGCUUAAAUUUUCACAGAACAUGAGACAUCAGGUCAAGUAGGAAUUUUCCUAUGAAUUAACAAUUCUACAGAAUAUAUGAUUUCUAAAAGAAAGGGGCACAGACUCCAGGUAGUGUAUUCUGACACACUCCCCAGUCUCCUUGGUGAUGGCAGAUGAACCAUUUUCCAUCACAAACCUGCAACUAGAAUGAACAGUUAGAUAACAUGCUUCUUAAGAUGCUAUCAUUUCUCAGUGCUCUAGUUCUCCUUCUGGGCCCUGGGAGCCAGGUCAUCAUGCAGCUAAUACCAAAUUCAACCUCUGUUGACACACAAUGCAUUUUCUUUUAGCACCCUUCAGAAACUGUUCUGUGAAAGGGAGGUGCAGGAUAUCUUAACCUGCUGGAAUCACAGGUUACGUAAGAAUCAGAGCAUAGUUACCAAACCAGAGUUUGAGUAAGAUACAGGCUUUAAUUUAAAGUGUUGUAAGUGCUUUGGACUAUUAACGAUAGCUAUCUCAGGCUUAACAGAAGGCUGAUGCCUUCAUGCUUGGGCUGCCUUAGAAGGAAUCAUUCUUCAGUCUGAACUACUUUUAUGUAUCACGAUUCUGAGACAACUCCAGUUGAAACACUGUCUACGUUCUGUUCUCCGCUUAGCUGAAGUGAUGAGAAGCACAUUGUGAGAUGAGCAAGAUUUCCCAAUUGCUAUUUUUUGCAUUCAUAGCUUUUUGUCUGUACAUAGUAGCUUCAAUAAACCCACAAUGAGGUAACUGAUUCUUAUCUCCUUUAUUAUAAUAUAUAGAUCUACUGUCUGCAAGACCUUGGAGGAAACUAUGUAGAAGAUCUAAAAAGAACUGAAAAGGGAAAUGGUGAUCCUGUAGUUAGGGCAGUAGCCUGGAUCAGAAGUAACAGAGCGCUCUGCCCUCAGCUGCCACUCUGUUACAUCAUGCCAGGUCAAAUAAGGAAGAAGUCUUAUACAAGCAACAAUUACAGAUCCUUGCUGGUUUUUUUCACAUCAAUGUUACUUGUGGCAGGGGGGCUGUCAGCACUUUGGCUACUUGAAGUCAAUGCUGCAGGUCUCUCCUGACUUCACUUUGUUAAUUCCUUUCACUACUUGCUAGUAUCAGCUGCCAUUAGAAAUCUAAAUGCAUUAAUUCCAAUGGGGGUUCAAGAGAAAGCAGAAAGUUGGAAAAUUUCAGCUCCCUACAUGCCCAUCCUUCCCCCUUCUUUUAGUACGUUUCACAUAGGGAAAAAUCAUUACUAUGCAUAAGCAUGCUACAUUACAACUUUUGAAUGGAGCAACAACUCACUUUCUUAACCUUCCCAUACUACUCAAGAAAUUUUGCUAACUAGUUAUUGCUGUAUUUAAAACAAAACAAAAAAACCCCAAACCACUCCCUAAACCACCCACAACAAACAAAUCUAUAAAGUUUUUUCCACAACUGACCUUGGAAUUACAGGCUGAAGCAUAAAAGGUGCAACAUCACAAAAUCCCUCUCGGCAUGAGGGCUGUAACCCUCAAUGUUAGCAGCAAGUCAGCCAGAGUGAAAACAGCACUUCUUAGAACUCUUAUUUUAACAAAUUAAGUUUAGGUUUCAAAUUCCAGUUGUAUUAGGGGGAAAAAAAAAAAAAAAAAAAGACAGCCUGCAUGUGUCUGGAAACACCAAGUGGCUUUCUGGAUACACUCUGCUAGCCUUUUUUUCCAGCUGGAUCAUCAUACACAGCAAGGAGAAACAAAAUCUCUGUUCUUACAAUGGUUUCAUUCCUAUACCUUCCACUGUAAACCGGUAAGAAAAUGUAAUUCUCUUGCAGCUCCCUUGAAGAACCUCCUGCUUUUCUACAGCCAAGAAUUCCCACCAAAUCUUGUAUAUUUCUUCUGGUUUUAAGUGAUAUGCAAACAAAAACAUGCCUCCAAAGCAGUAGCCUUCUGUAUUACUCAGUGCCCUACCACCAUUUAUUCCUGUACUUCAACAAACUUGGUAUACCCGUCCAACAGGAUCGAUAUCUGGCUUCUCUUCAGGGGUAAUAAUUUUUACAGCAUUACCUCUGAACAGACUAUGUGUGUGCGUAUCUUUAAACUCAGCGCAUCAUCUUAUCCUAGAAAAGCACCUUAGUUCUGCAGUGUAUCAGAAAAAUCAGUCAAUCCUACUGUCCCUGAAAGGGUAGGGGUAUUUCUCCACUAACCUUUAAACCAAGACACCAUAGCUGGUCACUUCAGCUUAAAAGGCUUCAAUACCCUUCGGGAAACCAGACACCCAGUUCAGGAAAAGAUACCUAGUUUCUUGGAAAGACAUCCUCAACUGAUCCAUGUCAGUGUUACUACAAAUUUCUCCUUUGUGCAGAAACAAGAUUAAAAAUAUCUAAAGGAACUAUGCUACUGCUGUAGAGGUCAACUAAAAUAAAACAGUAAUUACCCUGUUCAGAGUUCUCCAACUAAAAGAUAAUAAUAGAUCACUUCAACAGGGAACUUUUAGUCUGCUUCCGCACUCUCAGGAAAGGGAGUUAUAACAAAAGCUGUGUCACUGUUUUGGUGGAAAAUUUUAUGUAAUUUCUCACUUUCAAAUGUGUGUCAACUGUGCAUUAUAAGGCUCUUAUGCUGCAGUACACAGUGAAGAGCCUUAGACCAUGGAAAACAACAUAAGAAGUAUAAAUGUAAGCACAUACCACACAUACCCAUUUUCAUGCUAAUUAGAGGGAUCAGUAAGACAUGGGUGAAAAAAAUACUUAGCAAUACGAUGAAAUAAAAGGACAGAGUGCAAACAUCUAGACCAGCUGCUGUUCUCAGGGAGCCUCCUUUGACUACAGUGCUUGUGUACUUAAGUUCUCAGUACACAGAGAUGGCCUGCAUUGCAAAAUACAUCCACUAUAUAUGUAGGGCAUGACUCAGCAGAAAGGCAGCUAUUCCCAAUAUUCAAAGACAUUUCAUCAGAAGGUUAUUUGCCAAUUCCAAUCUGUAAAAGCAGCAACAGCUCAAGAAGAGGCUUUAUUUAAAAAAAAAUACAGGGACAGGCCAGUUUUUAAAAAUUGAGGAAAGAAAAAACAACCCCAAAACCCAAACCACUGAAUCCCUCUCAAACCUUUACCCCAUUUAAAAAGGCACAGCUAAGGAGAUAGAAGAAUGCGGCAU